rnacentral:rRNA from 1 species
UUAAAUUGAAGAGUUUGAUCAUGGCUCAGAUUGAACGCUGGCGGCAGGCCUAACACAUGCAAGUCGAACGGUAGCACAGAGAGCUUGCUCUCGGGUGACGAGUGGCGGACGGGUGAGUAAUGUCUGGGAAACUGCCUGAUGGAGGGGGAUAACUACUGGAAACGGUGGCUAAUACCGCAUAACGUCGCAAGACCAAAGAGGGGGACCUUCGGGCCUCUUGCCAUCAGAUGUGCCCAGAUGGGAUUAGCUUGUUGGUGAGGUAACGGCUCACCAAGGCGACGAUCCCUAGCUGGUCUGAGAGGAUGACCAGCCACACUGGAACUGAGACACGGUCCAGACUCCUACGGGAGGCAGCAGUGGGGAAUAUUGCACAAUGGGCGCAAGCCUGAUGCAGCCAUGCCGCGUGUAUGAAGAAGGCCUCGGGUUGUAAAGUACUUUCAGCGGGGAGGAAGGUGUUGUGGUUAAUAACCGCAGCAAUUGACGUUACCCGCAGAAGAAGCACCGGCUAACUCCGUGCCAGCAGCCGCGGUAAUACGGAGGGUGCAAGCGUUAAUCGGAAUUACUGGGCGUAAAGCGCACGCAGGCGGUCUGUCAAGUCGGAUGUGAAAUCCCCGGGCUCAACCUGGGAACUGCAUUCGAAACUGGCAGGCUUGAGUCUUGUAGAGGGGGGUAGAAUUCCAGGUGUAGCGGUGAAAUGCGUAGAGAUCUGGAGGAAUACCGGUGGCGAAGGCGGCCCCCUGGACAAAGACUGACGCUCAGGUGCGAAAGCGUGGGGAGCAAACAGGAUUAGAUACCCUGGUAGUCCACGCCGUAAACGAUGUCUACUUGGAGGUUGUGCCCUUGAGGCGUGGCUUCCGGAGCUAACGCGUUAAGUAGACCGCCUGGGGAGUACGGCCGCAAGGUUAAAACUCAAAUGAAUUGACGGGGGCCCGCACAAGCGGUGGAGCAUGUGGUUUAAUUCGAUGCAACGCGAAGAACCUUACCUGGUCUUGACAUCCACAGAAGAAUCCAGAGAUGGAUUUGUGCCUUCGGGAACUGUGAGACAGGUGCUGCAUGGCUGUCGUCAGCUCGUGUUGUGAAAUGUUGGGUUAAGUCCCGCAACGAGCGCAACCCUUAUCCUUUGUUGCCAGCGGUCCGGCCGGGAACUCAAAGGAGACUGCCAGUGAUAAACUGGAGGAAGGUGGGGAUGACGUCAAGUCAUCAUGGCCCUUACGACCAGGGCUACACACGUGCUACAAUGGCGCAUACAAAGAGAAGCGACCUCGCGAGAGCAAGCGGACCUCAUAAAGUGCGUCGUAGUCCGGAUUGGAGUCUGCAACUCGACUCCAUGAAGUCGGAAUCGCUAGUAAUCGUGGAUCAGAAUGCCACGGUGAAUACGUUCCCGGGCCUUGUACACACCGCCCGUCACACCAUGGGAGUGGGUUGCAAAAGAAGUAGGUAGCUUAACCUUCGGGAGGGCGCUUACCACUUUGUGAUUCAUGACUGGGGUGAAGUCGUAACAAGGUAACCGUAGGGGAACCUGCGGUUGGAUCACCUCCUUACCUUAAAGAA